GGGAAGGGUAGAAGGGAAGCAAGUCAGAAGCUCUGUGUCUGCUUAGUUUUCUCUGAUGAUGGGCCACAGUUUGGUUGCCUUGGGAUGACCACUGGACUGGGACUUUGAGACUGACCCCCAGGUGUUCCAGCUCUGGAUCUUCUGCCAAGGCAGGAACCUGACCUUCAGGAUUGACUUCAGACCUUGCUUGUUUUGGACCUGGACUGGUAUUUGACCAUUUGGAUAGUCUGACUACUCUCCAGUGUUGUCCUUGGGACUGGACUAUCAGGACUUACUUCCAGGUACACCAGAAGGAUGAUGUACUAUACUUCAUAUCUCCUACAAAGGCUGCUGAAACUGAUAAAAAGCAAACUCAGUGGACCAGGAGCUCUACAUAAUGCAUAACCCCCCUGAUGCUGCUGCCAUUGAAGCCUAUGCCAAAUACUACAAACGGGGAAACGGUAAAA